UUGCUUAAAACAAUUCAUAAUACAAGAAGUUAGCUCCUGAUCUUUUAAAUACUAAUUAUUUUGGAUGAGCUUCAAAAAUAUAAAGUCAAGUAUUUGUUGUACUAAACUCUCUUGGGGGAAAACCAAAAGAAAACAACAAAACCAACCCUGCUCUGUAGUCUUCAAGUCUCUUGUCUCUAGAGGUUCACUGUGUAUGCAGAGGGAUGAAGGCUCCGACUCAGUCUAACACGGCUCGUUAUAAAUGAGACUGAAAGUAAGGUGUUUUUAAACCUAUCCAGCCAGCGCAAAUAGGAAUAGUAUUUCUAAUACUGUGAUGGAUAUUAAACUGUCGCAGGAACCACAUUAAAAAAUUUAAGUGUAACCUUGACACUGCUGUCUGGAACCAAAACCCACCCCGCCUCUCAAAGUUUCUAUUGCGAGACCUUUCCUGCUAAAAUUCUGUGUCUUUCUCGAAGCCAGAAUAACCCUGAAUGAAAUAACGACUCCUUUUUGAUAUAAAAGUUCAUAAGAGGGAGUAAGAUGUAGAGAUAAUUGUGUAUGCCUCUGACCUCCAGGGCGGUUUUAAAAUGUAGGCGUUCUGGGACUGUAUGGGUGGUUUAAUGUGAUAUUUAUCUCCCUUAGAGGAGGUUUUGAUAGAAACCUCUAGGUUAUAAUAGUCUGCAAUAACAAGGUUGCUCUCCUAUCCAUGAAAAGCUAUUCUUAUUUUUUUCUGCUUACUUUUUCUAUAAAGGUCUCUGAUUUCCAGGACAAAGCAUUCCCAAUUUUAGGAGAACUUAUAGAAAAUGUCAGUCUCUUUCCAACAAGAGCAGCCUAGUCCCAGCUCCCUUUUAUCCAUGCGGCCUCGCACAGCCCCUGCCAGGCCACACCUGGGACGUGCCCGCGGUGGCCCUGCUCACUGGGAGAUGGGACCAGAGGCUCCCGCAUGCAUUCCACAUGCAGGGUUUCCACCUUGAAGCUCAUGUUUUGCUGGAGGAGCCCAGCUGAGGAAUAUCUGUCCCACCGCAGGAGCCUCAUCCUCAGGUGUGUUGAAGAGCAGUUGGGUCACGCCAUGGCCUCCCGCUGUGCUAAUUCGUUUUCCUGGCUGUACCUUCUGCCGGUGCCGUGUCCUCUCAAGGACAGCCGCACGGCGGGAGCAGGACGGGCUACAAGGGUGUACGUGUGCUCUCAUACACAGAUCCAAUUCCUUGGGUUCGAGCCCCAAAACCUCCACCCUGGGUGGGCACCAGUGUGCUCCCAGCAGGGUGCUGGUGCAUGGGAGCACCAGGGCUUACCCCAGCCUGCCCUGGGGGAGAGCUGUCCUUGGGCUGUGCAUCACCAGUACAAGAUCAGGCACAGAUCUGCAGAUGUGACACGGGAUUCGGGCCUGGCGUUGCCCUCCAGAGACUUGCCUUUUCUUCCUUUUUUUUUUUUUUUUUUUUUUUUUUUAAUGAGAAUGGACCCGACGUUUUGCUCUUUGCUGCUCCUCAGCUUCUACAGUGUCAUUAGAAUUGACGCUGUUGACAGAAAAUUUUGAAAAUUGUUUGCGUGAUGUGAUAAUAGUGCUCCGUAUUCCUCCUCCAGGUGAGGUUUGUUUUUAAUAAACUGCCACACAGCACGUUCACAGCAGUGGCUCUUCCCACUGCGCAGGUAGCGGGGGAAGGCUACUGAUUCCUCAGGGCCGACACACCCAGCACGUCGUGCACAGCAGCAAAUAUGUCAUAAAUCUACAUAGCUCCUAGAGUUUGCACCUACUUAAGCUGUAAAAGGGAGAAUAUCCAGAAAAAUCUGUUAGUGCCUUCCCACCGAAGGGCUGCUGCCGUUGGAGUAUUGAUGCUGAUGGACUUCUUACACGCGGUUACUUUAGAGGAGUAAUUAAUCUUGGCUUUCAGACUAGCAGCUAAACUCUAUGAGCACCUACAUUAAUCUCUCUACUAAAAGCAUCACAGAAGUAAUCUGCUUUAGCAUCACAACAGUGUUUUUCUUUUUCUUUUUCUUUUUUUUCUUUUUUAUUUGGACCUGAAAAAAA